rnacentral:rRNA from 1 species
GCUUGCUUUCUCGAGCGAGUGGCGAACGGGUGAGUAACGCGUGAGGAACCUGCCUCAAAGAGGGGGACAACAGUUGGAAACGACUGCUAAUACCGCAUAAGCCCACGACCCGGCAUCGGGUAGAGGGAAAAGGAGCAAUCCGCUUUGAGAUGGCCUCGCGUCCGAUUAGCUAGUUGGUGAGGUAACGGCCCACCAAGGCGACGAUCGGUAGCCGGACUGAGAGGUUGAACGGCCACAUUGGGACUGAGACACGGCCCAGACUCCUACGGAAGGCAGCAGUGGGGAAUAUUGCACAAUGGGGGAAACCCUGAUGCAGCGACGCCGCGUGGAGGAAGAAGGUCUUCGGAUUGUAAACUCCUGUUGUUGAGGAAGAUAAUGACGGUACUCAACAAGGAAGUGACGGCUAACUACGUGCCAGCAGCCGCGGUAAAACGUAGGUCACAAGCGUUGUCCGGAAUUACUGGGUGUAAAGGGAGCGCAGGCGGGAAGACAAGUUGGAAGUGAAAUCCAUGGGCUCAACCCAUGAACUGCUUUCAAAACUGUUUUUCUUGAGUAGUGCAGAGGUAGGCGGAAUUCCCGAUGUAGCGGUGGAAUGCGUAGAU